GACGAACGCUGGCGGCGCGCUUAAUACAUGCAAGUCGAGCGAGAACCAGGCCUUCGGGCCUGGGGAAAGCGGCGAACGGGUGAGUAACACGUGGGUAAUCUGCCCUCGGCACUGGGAUAGCCCGGGGAAACCCGGAUUAAUACCGGAUAGCCUUUCGAGCCUUCGGGCUCGUCAGAAAAGGUGGCUUCGGCUUCCGGCUGAGGAUGAGCCCGCGGCGGAUUAUCUUGUUGGUGAGGUAAUGGCUCACCAAGGCUCCGAUCCGUAGCUGGUCUGAGAGGACGAUCAGCCACACUGGGACUGAGACACGGCCCAGACUCCUACGGGAGGCAGCAGUAGGGAAUCUUGCGCAAUGGGCGAAAGCCUGACGCAGCGACGCCGCGUGCGGGAAGAAGGCCUUCGGGUUGUAAACCGCUUUCAGGAGGGACGAAGCCACUCGGGUUAAUAGCCCAGAGGGUGACGGUACCUCCAGAAGAAGCCCCGGCUAACUACGUGCCAGCCGCCGCCGUAACAC
rnacentral:rRNA from 1 species